rnacentral:lncRNA from 1 species
CUGAGUCACCACGAAGGCCUGGACAAUGCAGUCCCUGCGCUGCGGUCGGACAUGGGCAGGGCCCCACUUCCUCCUUCCUGCAGGGAUAUCCUUCCUUUCCUAUAGAAGAGAUGUAUCCCCUACCACCACAAGGUUUACCCUGAAAUGAACGUGCCCUACAUUUACACAAAGGUGGACCCUCAGGAUCGAAAAUGAGCCCGUUUUAAGUGGAGAUCUUUGGGUGUGACCACUGCUCUCUGCCUCAUGGAAAUGCACAGGCCCUUGGAGGAAGGAAACUCCUUUGCCUGGAGUUCACAUAAACUAGCAGUUCCCACUUACAACUGCCUGGCAGGACAUCUGAGGCAGGCUCCGCUCCGACACAGAACUGGCGAUUCAUGCUGAACGUAAAGGCAAGCGUGCCUGUUUUCCAGGGCUGCCAUGCCAACUCCAGCAGCAGAAAGAAGUUGACAGGGGCCAGGAGGCCCACUUGUGCCAAGGGUUUGGCACCUUGGAGGGUGUAGUGGAGCGUGCAGUUCCCAAGCUGGCUGCGUGUGGAGUGGCUCGCAGCAUCUGGACGGGCUUACAGUAGUGUGGAAAUCUGCAUCGGUGCACGUAAAACCAAAACCAAACCAAACAAAAGGGAGAAAAAAACAAAACAAAAACAAAAAACCAAUUCAUUAUAUUUCAAUACAUAUGUUUAUCUGUGAGUAUGUAUUUAAAAUGGCACGUAAAAUUUGCCCGAGGGCAUGCUGCAAGCUAAGGUUGCUGGAGAAUGGCUACACCUCUGGAUGUCUUUCCAGUGCAGAAAGCUGGGAAAGGUGAAACCCCACACCUGAGCAUCCCAGAUGCUGGCGUUUUAAUUUGUGUGCAGGAACUGGAGAGGUGCUCUUUGUCCAAGGUGGAUGAACAUAGCUGGCCUCAGGCCAAGGCUAAGUAAUUAGUGGGAAAUAUUCAAUUAUUUAGAAUGAAUAUACACCAUCUCUAUUGCUACUACAAAAAAAAUCAACUAAGUCUAUGUUGCCCAGUGAUCUUUUCAGUAGCUAUAUUUGUAUUUAAACAUUUUUUUGUGUUAAAGUUAAAUAAAACUUAGAAUCUC